CUCCCAGUCCUUCCGGGAAGUUGCCUUUAAAAUUCUUCUCCCAGCGACCUCUCAGCUUGUCCGGCUGCCGCUGUCUGAGCACCAUGGAGACGCGGUUCAUUCUCAGCCUUUGGGUCUUUAGCCAACUAGGUGCGGUGCUGGGUGACUCGGUCCGGUGCAAGGAACCCGAAGUGUCCAGGUCAGAGGGAGACACCGUGACUCUCAGCUGUUCUUAUGAAACCAGCUACACUGCCGGUGUCUAUCUCUACUGGUACCGCCAGUACCCGAACCGAGCCCCGCAGUUCAUCCUCCUGAGAGGAGCAAAAGGAAGCACGUUCAGUGAUACCGCAGGUUUCGCCCAGGAGAGGUUUUCUUCCCAGGCGAACGACAGCUCCACAGUUCUGAACAUCACAGCCCUGGAGCUGGCAGACACAGCGGUGUAUCUCUGCGCCCUGCAGAGAGCACAGUGACAGAGCCUCACAGCAGAGCUGCACAAAAACCCUCCCAGCCCUGCUGCGGGGAUGGUACAGGCAUUAAAACGGGCAGCAGCGCCUUGAACGAGUGUAUUCGCGCUGCUUAAAUAUA